rnacentral:rRNA from 1 species
GGAGUUAUGAAAUGUAGGAAUGUUAAUAGCAUUUCUAUUUGACUAGGCUCCAGAGGAAGCCACGGCUAACUCUGUGCCAGCAGCCGCGGUAAUACAGAGGUGGCAAGCGUUGUUCGGAAUUAUUGGGCGUAAAGAGCACGUAGGCGGCCCUGCCAGCCAGUUGUGAAAGCCUUCCGCUCAACGGAAGAACGGCAGCUGAUACUACAGGGCUAGAGUACGGGAGGGGAGAGUG